GGAUGUUGCUGCAGAGUUUGCCUAAAAUGUGGACAUUUAUUUUGUGGAUGUAUUCCAUUACGAUUUGCAUCGUUCAUUUCGUGUUUUUGUUUAUUCGUGGGUGACUUCCUGUUGUGAAACUAUGGGAGAGCUCUACCUUAUCAAGCCUAUGUUAGAAGGACAGAAUAAUGAUCAUCUUAAUGUAUAUUUAUUCAUGUCUGCAAAGGUUAUUCAAUUGUGUAUCGUCUCUUUAGAAAUGGUAAUGACAUUUGCAGUUUGGAAGGAAUAUGCCCAGAUAUUGCAAUCUGCUACAGUACUUUAUGCAGUUUUUAAGGGGAUUAAGCUCCUACUAUCUCUCAUUGAAUCGAUUUCCGAGGGAGGAGGGUACUCAUUUAUAGUUACAAGUUGUGCCUCAGCUGUAAUAGUUCUCUUGCCUAUUAUAUGGAAUUACCAGAGGCGACUCAAAGAGAACAGGUCUGAGACAACUGCUGAAGGAACUGGCACAGCUGAAAAUCAGGGGGACAAAAG